AAUCGUUACAAAUCAUUCCCGAAAGGAUUCGUUUAUUACGAAGAUGCCUUGUAACCAAAAUAUAUGAAUUAAUGGGGGAAUUAUACAAAAUG
rnacentral:sRNA from 2 species